rnacentral:rRNA from 1 species
ACGGAAGGCAGCAGUGGGGAAUAUUGGGCAAUGGGCGCAAGCCUGACCCAGCAAUGCCGCGUGAAGGAAGAAGGCUUUCGGGUUGUAAACUUCUUUUAAGUGGGUCGACAAUGACGGUACCACUUGAAUAAGCUCCGGCUAACUACGUGCCAGCAGCCGCGGUAAUACGUAGGGAGCAAGCGUUAUCCGGAUUUACUGGGUGUAAAGGGCGUGUAGGCGGGACAUCAAGUCAGAUGUGAAAGCACGAGGCUCAACUUCGUGUCUGCAUUUGGAACUGACGUUCUUGAGUGUUGGAGAGGCUAACGGAACUCCUAGUGUAGCGGUGAAAUGCGUAGAUAUCAGGAGGAACACCGGUGGCGAAGGCGAUUUACUGGACCACAACUGACGCUGAGACACUAAAGCGUGGGGAGCAAACAGGAUUAGAUACCCUGGUA